GUCUCUUCGAGGACAUUAAAAAAAACUGAAAUAAUACAGAGAAGAUUAACAUGAUCAUGCACAAAGAUGACAUGCACUAAUCGAGAAAGGAUUCAAAUUUUA